rnacentral:lncRNA from 1 species
UCUAAAUACAAAAACAAUGAGGUUCUGACCAUAUAGACACCUUAUCGGCAAGGGACAAACAUUUCUCAGUCUCAACCUUGCGGAGAUACCUGAUAAAACUUGGAUUUAAGCUUAAGAUGGUUAACAAAAGAGCUGCUGUAAUGGAAUUGUCAGGUGGUGUAUAGAAUAUUUGAGGAAAAUUUAAAAAAUUUGGGAGGAAGAAAGAUCCAUAUAUUAUUUAGCCGAAACAUGAUAUGAUACAUUUAUGAUUGAUGUAUGAUUUCCAUUCUCUGGGAAAAAUGUCCCUUUUUUGCCAUAGUAAGAAAACCAUAUUUUUAUUAAUAAAACAAGUUUAAAAUUUUGUUUUUUACAGCUUACUGCCCCUGUUGUCCUUCAGUGAUACAAUAAAGACUGCUUCUUCCACCAUUCUCUGGGAAAAACCCUGUUUUGCUAUGCUUACUACCCCUGUUGUCCUUCAGCAACACAAUGAAGACUGCUUCUUCCUCCAUUCUCUGGAAAAAAGUCCCUUUUUUGCCAUACUUACUGCCCCUGUUUGUCCUUCAGCGACACAAUAAAGUAUAUAUAAUGUAAUGCUUUAGAAUCCAUAUGCUGAUGUGCGAGACGAAGUUGGAAUCCAUGGC